UGGGGAAUAUUGGACAAUGGGCGCAAGCCUGAUCCAGCCACGCCGCGUGAGUGAUGAAGGCCUUCGGGUCGUAAAGCUCUGUGGGGAGGGACGAACCGCCGCUGGUGAAUAUCCAGCGGCAUGACGGUACCUCCUUAGCAAGCACCGGCUAACUUCGUGCCAGCAGCCGCGGUAAUACGAAGGGUGCAAACGUUGCUCGGAAUUAUUGGGCGUAAAGCGCACGUAGGCGGCUUGGCAAGUCGGAUGUGAAAUCCCUCGGCUCAACCAAGGAAGUGCAUCCGAAACUGCUGAGCUUGAGUACUUAAGAGGAUCGCGGAAUUCCCGGUGUAGAGGUGAAAUUCGUAGAUAUCGGGAGGAACACCAGUGGCGAAGGCGGCGAUCUGGGAAGAUACUGACGCUGAGGUGCGAAAGCGUGGGGAGCAAACAG
rnacentral:rRNA from 1 species